rnacentral:misc_RNA from 1 species
GAUGAAGAACGUAGCAAAAUGCGAUACUUGGUGUGAAUUGCAGAAUCCCGUGAACCAUCGAGUCUUUGAACGCAAGUUGCGCCUCAAGCCAUUAGGUUGAGGGCACGUCUGCCUGGGCGUCACAUAUCGUUGCCUGAUGCCAGUUUCCUCGUGAUGGGUGACUGUGCAGGGCGAAUGAUGGCUUCCCGUGAGCAUUGUUGCCUCAUGGUUGGUUGAAAAUUGAGUCCUUGGUAGGGAGCGCCGUGAUAGAUGGUGGUUGAGUGACGAACGAGACCCAAUCAUGUGAGACCCCUACCGAAUUUGGCCUUCAUGACCCACAUGCGUCUUUGGAACGCUCAUGACGAGACCUCAGGUCAGGCGGGGCUACCCGCUGAGUUUAAGCAUAUCAAUAAGAGGA